rnacentral:tRNA from 1 species
CGGGAUGUAGCUCAGUGGUAGGGCGCAUGCGUCGCAUGUGUGAGGCCCCGGGUUCAAUCCCCCGGCAUCUCCC